AAAACAUAGCCUUUAGCCAAACAAGUAUUAAAGGUCUAGCCUGCCCAGUGAAUUAUUUCAACGGCCGCGGUAUCCUAACCGUGCAAAGGUAGCGUAAUCAUUUGUCUUCUAAAUAGAGACUUGUAUGAACGGCUAACUGAGGGCCCAACUGUCUCCUUAGACCAAUCAAUGAAACUGAUCUUUCAGUACAAAAGCUGAAAUAAACACAUAAGACGAGAAGACCCUGUGGAGCUUAAAACCUACACUAUAAACGCCCAUCCAUCCCUAAAGGGACACCUCCCUCCCCAUAGUAAAAAGUUUUUAGUUGGGGCGACUUUGGAACAAAACAAAACUUCCAUGCCAGGGACCCCUCCCUAUAAAGGCUUACAUGCCAAAAUAAUACUUUUUUGACCCAGCCUGUCUGAUCAACGAACCAAGUUACCCCAGGGAUAACAGCGCCAUCCUCUUCAAGAGUUCCUAUCGACAAGAGGGUUUACGACCUCGAUGUUGGAUCAGGACACCCCGGUGGUGUAGCCGCUACCAAAGGUUCGUUUGUUCAACGAUUAACAGU
rnacentral:rRNA from 1 species